rnacentral:misc_RNA from 1 species
GAUGAAGAACGCAGCGAAAUGCGAUAAGUAAUGUGAAUUGCAGAAUUCAGUGAAUCAUCGAAUCUUUGAACGCAUCUUGCGAUCCUUGGUAUUCUGAGGAGCAUGCCUGUUUGAGUGUCAUUAAAUUCUCAACUACACUGACUUUGAAUUGGUGUGGCUUGGAUUUGGGGGGAAAAUUGUUGUGGGCUUUUUGUAUAGUCUGCUCCCCUGAAAUUGAUUAGCGGUACCUUUGUGGAACUGUCUACAGGUGUGAUAAUUAUCUACAUCUUAGACAUCUGCUGGAAUGCUGCUUUCUAAACCUUACUUGUAUUGACAAUCUUGUCCUCAAAUCAGGUAGGACUACCCGCUGAACUUAAGCAUAUCAAUAAGCGGAGGA